rnacentral:rRNA from 1 species
UACAGAGGGGGCAAGCGUUGUCCGGAUUUACUGGGCGUACAGCGCGCGCAGGCGGAACUGGACGUGCCGUGUGACAAGCCACCGCUCACCGGUGGAGGGCCACGGUACACGACAGUUCUGGAGGCAGGGAGAGGGAUGUGGAAUGCCCGGUGGAGCGGUGAAAUGCGUAGAGAUCGGGCGGAACACCAGCGGCGAAGGCGCCUAUCUGGCUGACAACUGACGCUGAGACUCGAAAGCAUGGGGAGCAAACAGG